rnacentral:rRNA from 1 species
AGCGAACGCUGGCGGCGUACUUAACACAUGCAAGUCGAACGGGGAUCGUGGGGGGGCAACCACUUCGCGGUUCUAGUGGCGUACGGGUGAGUAACACGUGGGUAACCUGCCCUCGAGCCUGGGAUACCCCCUCGAAAGGGGGGCUAAUACCGGAUACGCUCCUCGGGUCGCGAGAUCGGAGGAGGAAAGGUGGCGCAAGCUGCCGCUCUUGGAGGGGCUCGCGGCCUAUCAGCUAGUUGGCGAGGUAACGGCUCACCAAGGCGAUGACGGGUAGCUGGUCUGAGAGGACGACCAGCCACACGGGGACUGAGACACGGCCCCGACUCCUACGGGAGGCAGCAGUGGGGAAUUUUCCGCAAUGGGUGAAAGCCUGACGGAGUGACGCCGCGUGGGGGAUGAAGGCCUUCGGGUUGUAAACCCCUGUCAGAGGGAACGAGGGGAGUCGGCGUGAAUAGCGCCGGUUCUUGACGGUACCUUCAGAGGAAGCCCCGGCCAACUCUGUGCCAGCAGCCGCGGUAAGACAGAGGGGGCAAGCGUUGCUCGGAAUCACUGGGCGUAAAGGGCGUGUAGGCGGGAGCGUGAGUCGGUCGUGAAAGCCUUCGGCUCAACCGAAGAAGGGCGGCCGAUACUGCGCUCCUUGAGGGGUGGAGAGGAGACUGGAAUUCCCGGUGUAGCGGUGAAAUGUGUAGAUAUCGGGAGGAACACCGGUGGCGAAGGCGGGUCUCUGGCCAC